UGGGGAAUUUUCGGCAAUGGGCGAAAGCCUGACCGAGCAAUACCGCGUGUAGGAUGAAGGCUCUUUUGGGUUGUAAACUACUGUGGAAAAUUACUAAAAAAAUGAAGAAUUUUCUAGAAAGAGGUUGCUAACUCUGUGCCAGCAGCAGCGGUAAUACAGAGACCUCGAGCGUUAUCCGGUAUUAUUGGGCGUAAAGCGUUCCGCUCGGUUGUUUAAUGUGUCUGAUGUGAAAGACUGGAGCUCAACUCC
rnacentral:rRNA from 1 species